rnacentral:rRNA from 1 species
AUUGAACGCUGGCGGCAUGCUUUACACAUGCAAGUCGAACGGUAGAGGGGGCAACCCCUUGAGAGUGGCGAACGGGAGAGUAAUGCAUCGGAACGUGCCCAGUCGUGGGGGAUAACGCAGCGAAAGCUGUGCUAAUACCGCAUACGAUCUCUGGAUGAAUGCGGGGGACCGAAAGGCCUCGCGCGAUUGGAGCGGCCGAUGUCAGAUUAGGUAGUUGAUGGGGUAAAGGCUCACCAAGCCAACGAUCUGUAGCUGGUCUGAGAGGACGACCAGCCACACUGGGACUGAGACACGGCCCAGACUCCUACGGGAGGCAGCAGUGGGGAAUUUUGGACAAUGGGCGCAAGCCUGAUCCAGCAAUGCCGCGUGCAGGAAGAAGGCCUUCGGGUUGUAAACUGCUUUUGUACGGAACGAAAAGGUCUGGGUUAAUACCCUGGGCACAUGACGGUACCGUAAGAAUAAGCACCGGCUAACUACGUGCCAGCCGCCGCAGUAA